rnacentral:rRNA from 1 species
CCCAGACUCCUACGGGAGGCAGCAGUGGGGGAUAUUGCACAAUGGGGGGAACCCUGAUGCAGCGACGCCGCGUGGGUGAAGGAGCGUUUCGGCGCGUAAAGCCCUAUCGGCAGGGAAGAAGGAGGACGGUACCUGACUAAGAAGCCCCGGCUAACUACGUGCCAGCAGCCGCGGUAAUACGUAGGGGGCAAGCGUUAUCCGGAUUUACUGGGUGUAAAGGGAGCGUAGACGGCUUGGCAAGCCAGAUGUGAAAGGCUGGGGCUCAACCCCAGGACUGCAUUUGGAACUGUCAUGCUAGAGUGUCGGAGAGGCAGGCGGAAUUCCUAGUGUAGCGGUGAAAUGCGUAGAUAUCAGGAGGAACACCGGUGGCGAAGGCGGCCUGCUGGACUGCAACUGACGUUGAGGCUCGAAGGCGUGGGGAGCAAACAGGAUUAGAUACCCUUGUA